GGAAUUUUGGACAAUGGGCGCAAGCCUGAUCCAGCCAUGCCGCGUGAGUGAAGAAGGCCUCGGUUGUAAGCUCUUCGUCCGGGAAGGAAAUCGUGGUCUCUAACAUAGGCCAUGGAUGACGGUACCGGACUAAGAAGCACCGGCUAACUACGUGCCAGCAGCCGCGGUAACACGUAGGGGGCAAGCGUUGUCCGGAUUUAUUGGGCGUAAAGAGCUCGUAGGUGGCUAAGUAAGUCGGGUGUCAAAUCCCCAGGCUCAACCUGGGUCCCCACUCGAUACUGCUUUGGCUAGAGUCCGGUAGGGGAGCGUGGAAUUCCUGGUGUAGCGGUGAAAUGCGCAGAUAUCAGGAGGAACACCAGCGGCGAAGGCGGCGCUCUGGGCCGGUACUGACACUGAGGAGCGAAAGCGUGGGUAGCAAACAGGAUUAGAUACCCUGGUAGUCCACGCCGUAAAACGUUGGGGCACUAGGUGUGGGGUCUAUUCAACGGACUCCGUGCCGUCGCUAACGCAUUAAGUGCCCCGCCUGGGGAGUACGGCCGCAAGG
rnacentral:rRNA from 1 species